GGCCAGCUGGCCCAAUGGUAGGGCAUCUGUUUCCGGCGCAGGAGGUUGCAGGUUCGAGUCCUGCGUUGGUCG
rnacentral:tRNA from 1 species